rnacentral:rRNA from 1 species
GACGGAGGGUGCGAGCGUUAUUCGGAUUUAUUGGGCGUAAAGAGCAUGUAGGCGGUCGGCCAAGUCUGAUGUGAAAUCCCGGGGCUUAACCUCGGAAGGGCGUUGGAAACUGGUCGACUUGAGUUCGGGAGAGGGAAGCGGAAUUCCGGGUGUAGAGGUGAAAUUCGUAGAUAUCCGGAGGAACACCGGUGGCGAAGGCGGCUUCCUGGACCGAAACUGACGCUGAGAUGCGAAAGCGUGGGGAGCAAACAGG